UAUAAAAGUAAAGACAAUCCUACAGUUAUCAGGAUAGUCAUACAUGUAUGUAUGUUUAUGUCAGAUAUACAUGUAAACAGUAAGCUUAAUUUGUUAAAAAUCAGGAACAUCAAAUUUAAAUUUUCUGUAAUUUUGAUUGCUACAUAUACAGUGUACCUAUAUAUUAUGACAUAUGAAAGACACACAUAUAUUGAAAAGUGGUUAUCAUGAUUACAUAUAUAUUUAUUUAUAAAAAUAAAACUUGUAUAUCAAAUCUUAAGAUAAUUAGAUUCUUAAUCCACUAUUUAGAUGGGAUCUUUUGGGACCGCAAUACCUUUGUUUCAUAAAAUUGUUGUUUAUUGUCCUUCGUGUCCUUAGAAACUAAAUUAGACAUAUGAUAUAUACAUGAUACAAUUGCAAGGAUUUCAAACUUUUAACAUUUAGUUUGAAAACUGAAAAAAUAUUUUAAAAUUAGCACAUUUUGAGAUCUUGUCAUUAGAAUUUAGAUACAUUUGUACAUGUACAUGUGUGAUCCUGAAGCCCAUAACAUAUAAGGUUAAUUUGACUCAAAUAUAUCAAGUAAAGUUGUUUAGUAAUAAGUUAAUCACAAUUUACAUUUCUGCUUUAAAGUGUUCAUUUAGAUCAUUUUAUACAUUAACCUGUCCAUUUAAAAAUAGAGUUAAUCAUACAAAAAAGUCUUGUAACUUUGAAUGUUUUUAAUGUAGUAGAUGCUAACAGCUCAUUAUAUAUUUUCCACUGGUUCUUAAGAUAAGAAAAUAACUAAUUUGAUUUUAAAUACAAUUUUCCAAAUUCAAUUCAAAGAAUAAUUGAUCACCUUAUAAUCUGUUAUUUCUUUAAACAGAUAAAAGAUACAUCAGAUGACAGACUUACAUAUAGAGGAGCCUAUAAUUAAAGAAAUGGAUCAACUUGAUGUUGAAGUUAACCUACUGCAUUAAUAUGAACAUUCAUAAGUGAGUACCAGUAUCUCUUAAAGUACAUUUUUUACAUGUUUAUCUUUAUUUUGAUAAAGUACCAUAUGAGAUAAAGUAUGUGAAAUCUAAAUCCUGUAAAUAUACUAGACAUUACAUCAGUACAUAAUGUAAAUCAGAAUAAGAAUGCAUAACAAAUGAAUUGUUAAACAUUUUAAUAUGACCAGUGUCAGCUUAAUUUAAGAAAAAUUAAAACACAGAUGACACACAAUAAAAAAUUAAUGAGACCAAGUGUGAUUUCCAGAUAUGCAAGAAGGGUUUUAAUCUCUCACUACAAAUGUAUUUGAAGUCCUGAAUGUGAAAUCUUCUAAAAAAUUAUACUAAACUUCAAAUAUGUGUACUUGAAUAUAUGUAUAUAAUAUUAAAAUUCAUCUUAUUUAAUAUAAUUAAUUUAAAACAUUUUCAAGCAAAAAACUGAUGUAUAAAUGUAUAGCUUGACUUUUUCUUUAUUUGUUUUCAGGUGACUGAGCUAAAAGAAAAUCACACAUGAAACUGUAACCAGUUUGGGAGACUCGUACAACAGAACAUUUCAAUACCUAUUAAGUUUUUUAUGUAUAUGUUUGACUUUUGGUAAUAUUUUGGAAGUUACUUUAGUAAUUGAGAGACCUCAAUGUUGAAAAUGACAAUUUUGAUAGAGG
rnacentral:lncRNA from 1 species